CGCUGCCCGCUCCGCUCGGCUCGGCUCGGCUCGGCUCGGCUCCGCUCCCCCGUCUCGUCGGUUAUUUCGGGAUCUUCACAGGAAGCGAUUAGGUUGCCAUGGAGAGAGGUGUCUCCAAGGGACCCGGCGCUCCAGCUCGCUCCCGGCGAAUGCCACCCCCGGACCGCUCUGACCCAACCUUACAAGCCCUGCUUCUCCUUUAAUCCUGCUAUAUGAAGAAGCCCAGACUGCUAGCUCUGAGAAUACAGAUUCAUAGCCUUUCCCUGCUUCCCUGGGCCACUGUGAUCUUCAGCCUGUCCUGAAGACGUGUCUGUUGGGUAAAAUGUGUCUCGGUCACGUUUUACCCGACCAAGUGCAGGAGAUGCUCCUUACCACCUCCUUCACUGAGGACCCCGGGGCAGGACAGCUUCUGACAAUGCCCUGAACCGGUGGCUCCGGGGCACUUUUCUAGGAGAGAUGACUGAGCGCGCCCACGCGUACGUACCAACGGAAGCUGACCAGAGAAGCCUCUUUGUUCAGCCCCAGAUUUCCGAGGCAAAUGAGACUGAGACAUCCCAAAGGUAAGGGGACAUCAGAGCAUGUGAAUGAAAACGUGCUCUGCCGGCACAGGGCUGAGGGUCUGGGUGCCUUCCCCUGUCAGGGCACCUCUUUGCCUCCCUGGCCCAGGCACUCAGAGGCGUUUGGCUCCUUCUGCCUGGAAUUAGUUUUGCGUGACGUCCAUUUAAUUCUAGUGGCAUGGCCACUAACGUUAGAAGUUCGGUUUUCCACGCCGACCAUUGCUGUCUGCACCGCUCCCUCCUUCUGUCAGUAGCCUCAGCGUGGAGACCGAGCACUGAAGGGUCUCAGGGACUGAAGGGACCCUGAGAAGGGGUAGGGACAAUACAUGCGGCUGUUCAAAUGAGCUCGGAGCAGCCUCUCACGAGGAGACGCCAUGACCUAACUCCCCAAGGCAGCCACGGGUUGUAUUUUCCAGCUCUACAAUUGCGUUUGGAGCAGUACAGCACCCCAAAGGAGCCUUCUCCACGACUCAGCCACAGCAGCUGCGUGAGAAGAACUAGAGUCAAAGCAAGUGAUGAGAAGAGAGCUGCUGAUACUGGCAAGUAAAACCUUAACAAACUUAGACUUUACCCAGACGAAGAUUUCAAGAUGUUAUGUUUAUUUCAAGAUGUUACGCUUACAGAAGCCUGGCAAGGCGCAAGUCAACUGCCUUUAAUACGUGCGAAACUGACCAAGCUGAAGACCGAUUCCCUUGCGGGCAACCACGUGCUGGAGUGCAAACUUGCCCUGACAGCGCUAAGAUUUUAACACGCUAAAACCGUGUUGCCUGCACAGACUAUAUUGGGCUCCCAUCAAUUUGUUGCCUCCUUUGCUUUCAGGGAAAAACCUCCCUGACUUCGAAAGAAGCCAGCCAUGAGGAAGUUGGUGCUGGAUUGGAAACUCUUGGCCGAAGAGCUUAAUGCUGCUUAUUGAAAGGAGUGUUUGCGGACUGCACUCCUCCCAGUCCCCCUCGCAACUCACCUCCACCCUCCACAUGAUUUAUACAAGACAAGAAGAGCGAUGAAGGUUUUUUCCAAAAUGACCCUCACUUUUUAGUCCCAUCGUCAUAAAAACAGCUCUUUCACCUAGCACGGGGAAGCGUGCCCUCGGUGAUGCCUCCUGAUCGCAUUACACUGACUCAUUUGCUCACGAAUUGAUACUUAAAGCAUACCAUAAACAUUUCUAUCCUUG